GACGAACGCUGGCGGCGUGCUUAACACAUGCAAGUCGAACGGUGAAGGUGGAGCUUGCUCCGCCGGAUCAGAGGCGAACGGGUGAGUAACACGUGGGCAACCUGCCCCAGACUUCGGGAUAACUCCUCGAAAGAGGCGCUAAUACCGGAUACGAGUUCUGCAGGCAUCUGCGGAAUUGGAAAGUUUUUCGGUCUGGGAUGGGCCCGCGGCCUAUCAGCUUGUUGGUGAGGUAACGGCUCACCAAGGCGACGAAGGGUAGCCGGCCUGAGAGGGCGACCGGCCACACUGGGACUGAGACACGGCCCAGACUCCUACGGGAGGCAGCAGUGGGGAAUAUUGCGCAAUGGGCGAAAGCCUGACGCAGCAACGCCGCGUGCGGGAUGAAGGCCUUCGGGUUGUAAACCGCUUUCAGCAGGGAAGAAGCGAAAGUGACGGUACCUGCAGAAGAAGCACCGGCUAACUACGUGCCAGCCGCCGCAGUAA
rnacentral:rRNA from 1 species